AUUGAACGCUGGCGGCAGGCCUAACACAUGCAAGUCGAACGAGUGGCGGACGGGUGAGUAAUGUAGGGGAAACUGCCUGAUGGAGGGGGAUAACUACUGGAAAAGGUAGCUAAUACCGCAUACCAUCAGAUGUGCCCAGCUGGGAUUAGCUAGUUGGUGGGGAAACGGCUCACCAAGGCGACGGUCCCUAGCUGGGCUGAGAGGUGGACCAGCCACGUGAGGACUGGGACACGGUCCUGGCUCAUACGUGCGGCAGCGGUGGUGAAUAUUGCAGAAUGGGCGCAAGCCUGAUGCAGCCGUACCGCGUGUAUAAGGAAGGCCUUCGGGUUAUAAAGUACUUUCAGCGAGGAGGCGUUACCCGCAGAAGAGGCACCGGCUAACUCCGUGCCAGCAGCCGCGGUAAUAC
rnacentral:rRNA from 1 species